GCUGUAGAUCUGACAGAACUCUGGCCCUCAUCAGAUGAACCUUCACUGUGCUGCACAGAUAUUAGAAGAGCAAUUACAUUCCUGUGAGCCACUGAUGGAGGACAUCAUCCAACUGGAAGCACUUCUUUAAGAGGGGCCUGUCAGCUCACCUUUAUAUUAACAGACAUUACCUUUGAAUAUAUCUGUGAGGAAGGAAAACUGCUUCAGUAAGUGUUAUUUCUGUUGUGUUUCUUUUGUAUCUAAGCCAAAAUAUUCCUUCAGAUUACCCCUCUAGUUACAUUCCUCAAAUAAAAAGAAAAGAAAAAAAAGCAGAAAAAGUUUACAAAAUGUCUCUUUUCGCUAAACAAAUUAUCAUCAAGUAGUUUAUAGUAUGUCAUAACCCCGACCUUUGAAUUGUAUGAAAGUACACAUCACAGAACUCUUGACUGACAUAGUAAAAAUAAAAUCAAAACAAAAUGAGGCAUUAAAGCUUUCACAAUAUAGCUUAUGCUGAUUUCAUCACAAAGAAUACUUUGGGAAUAGAUUUCUUUCAUAAUAAAUUUAGUCAUAAAUAUAUUUGGGGCAAGA
rnacentral:lncRNA from 1 species